AUUUCUUUUCUCUUCCUCUUCUCUCUCUCGUUCACGACACUCUCUGAACGACAAAACAGAACCGAUUUUUGAAUGAAAUCGGAACGACAAAUCGGAGGAGAACGAGUCUCCACCGAGGUUAUUGGACUGUUAUAUCAUCAUCUUCACGGAGGCUGAGUCUCAAUGGACGAGUUAAUCGACGAUUUGCUCAUUGAAAGCGUUGUCUUCUUCACCAAAUCGGAGCGUUACCGGCACCAAAUUGGAGAUUUUGAUUAACCAAAAUCUUUGGAUAUAUUGCUGAAACUGCAACAAGAGCACACUUUGAAGGAAGCAUCUGAAGCAAGAUCAAUGUUUGUAUUUAAGCUGGGUCUGGCGAAAUUGAAGUGUUCCUUUUUGAUGAAUGGCAUUGUCUUUGAUUAUGUUGAGGAAGAAACUCUUUUAAAUGCCAUGAAUGAUGAGUUUCCUAAGAUACAAGAACAAGUUUAUUACGGCCAGAUAGAAUCCCAUACUAAUGUUUUGGACAAAUUGCUUUCGGAAAGUGGUCUUCCCCGUUAUAAUCCACAUGUAUGGAAUUUCACUUGCAGCAUAUCUUGCAAUAUGCUUAUGUGUGUGUUUAUUACUAAUUCUAAGAAGUGUAUGCCUCUCGUAAUUGCAUUGUUUGUAGAUUAUUAGUGGAGGAAAGAACAAACCUGUCAAUGGCUUCAUCUACUAGACUACUAGGAAAGGGGAAUCUAUGUUGAAUGAUGUUAACUACUUGCGUUCACCUGAAAGUAACAACAAAUUUAUAUAGUCAACAGCUUCUGUCCA